rnacentral:lncRNA from 1 species
AAUUUAUAAAUAUAUCCCUAUAAAGUUCAAAUUUUCUAAGUUAUUCUAGCAAAAAUUCUAAUGUUUUCAGAUAUGACCCUCUGAUUUGUUACGGUUAGAGAAUCAUUAGAAAACUGCUUAUAUUUUCAGUUUUACUAUCAUAAAUAUGUUCUUCUAAAAAUUAUAACAGUAUAAUAUAAGAGGGGUAAAAAUGUCAAAAAUUAAUCACGGUAAAGUAUUUAACCAAUGGUUAACUAAACUUUUCUAAUCGAUUCUAACGACAGAGACAUAGCUGAAAAUAUUAGGACUUUUGCAGGAAUAAUUUAUAAAUAUUAAACUUUAUAGGAAUAUAUCUACAAUUUAUUAUAUUUACGGGGACCUGUAUGCAAUUAAACCCUUCUU